rnacentral:rRNA from 1 species
CCUACGGGAGGCAGCAGUGAGGAAUAUUGGUCAAUGGACGAGCGUCUGGACCAGCCAAGUAGCGUGAAGGAUGACUGCCCUAUGGGUUGUAAACUUCUUUUAUAUGGGAAUAAAAUGUUCCACGUGUGGGAUUUUGUAUGUACCAUAUGAAUAAGGAUCGGCUAACUCCGUGCCAGCAGCCGCGGUAAUACGGAGGAGCCGAGCGUUAUCCGGAUUUAUUGGGUUUAAAGGGUGCGUAGGCGGUCUGUUAAGUCAGCGGUAAAAUUGCGGGGCUCAACCCCGUCGAGCCGUUGAAACUGGCGGUCUUGAGUGGGCGAGAAGUAUGCGGAAUGCGUGGUGUAGCGGUGAAAUGCAUAGAUAUCACGCAGAACUCCGAUUGCGAAGGCAGCAUACCGGCGCCCAACUGACGCUGAAGCACGAAAGCGUGGGUAUCGAACAGGAUUAGAUACCCGUGUAGUC